UUUAACCAUGAGUUUUUGUUUUCGUGUCCAACUUUAAUCGUCCGUCUUAUAUAAUUUUUUUACGGUUUGUAUUUUUAUUGUUAUUAGAUGAUAAAAUAUGAAUAUUACUUUAUUCAUGACUUUUUUUUUAACUUUUAAAAAAUCAAGAUGAUUAAAGUUUGACAUGAAAAACUGAUGACCACACUUAAA
rnacentral:pre_miRNA from 1 species